GCCCCAGUGGCGCAAUGGAUAGCGCGUCGGACUUCUAAUCCGGAGGUUGAGGGGGUUAGAGUCCCUCCUGGGGUA
rnacentral:tRNA from 1 species